UAGGGAAUUUUCGUCAAUGGGCGCAAGCCUGAACGAGCGAUGCCGCGUGAGUGAAGAAGGCCUUCGGGUCGUAAAGCUCUGUUGGACGGGGGAAAAAAGGCAUCUGCAGGAAAUGGUAGAUGACAGAUGGUGCCCCGCCAGAAAGUCACGGCUAACUACGUGCC
rnacentral:rRNA from 1 species